GCAAGUCGAACGGGCUAGUGCUUCGCACUAGUCUCUUUCUGGGGUUGUUACUCUAAGGCUACCUGCUAAAGUUAUUGCUUUAAAGCAGGGGUUUUAGGAGAUUUCCCCGAAAGGGGCCAGUGCGGAGCACUGGCCAGUGGCGAACGGGUGAGUAACACGUGGGUAAUCUACCCUCGAGUGGGGAAUAAGCUUCCGAAAGGGGGUCUAAUGCCGCAUAACGUUUCAUAACGAUGGUUAUGAAACCAAAGCCCAAAAGGCGCUCGAGGAGGAGCCUGCGUCCUAUCAGCUUGUUGGCAGGGUAAUGGCCUACCAAGGCUAUGACGGGUAGCCGGCCUGAGAGGGUGUCCGGCCACACUGGAACUGAGACACGGUCCAGACUCCUACGGGAGGCAGCAGUGGGGAAUUUUGCGCAAUGGGGGAAACCCUGACGCAGCGACGCCGCGUGGAGGAUGACGGCCUUCGGGUUGUAAACUCCUGUCAGAAGGGACGAAAUCCCGCAAGGGACUGACGGUACCUUCAGAGGAAGCCCCGGCUAACUACGUG
rnacentral:rRNA from 1 species